rnacentral:lncRNA from 1 species
GACACAGAACUUUAUGAUGGAUAAACCAAGGGAAAGAGGAGAACAGACACCAGAAACUGGCCAUGGGAAGAGUUCUCAAUAGGGCUGAUGCUAACAAGCUCAGUGAUACUUGAAUACAGGAUUCCUGGGCAAGAUGGCCAAAUAGGAACAGCUCCAAUAUGCAGCUCCCAGCGAGACCAACACAGAAGGUAGGUGAUUUCUUCAUUUCCAACGGAGGUACCCGGUUCAUCUCACUGGGACUGGUUAGAGAGUGGGUGCAGCCCACGGAGGGCAAGCAGAAGCAGGGUAGGGCAUUGCCUCAACCAGGAAGUGAAAGGGGUUGGGGAACUCCCUCCCCUACCCAAAGGAAGCCUUGAAGGACGGUGCCAUGACAGACAGUGCUUGCCAGCCCAGAUACUACGCUUUUCCCACAGUCUUUGCAACUCCCAGACCAGGAGAUUCCCUCGGGUGCCUAUACCACCAGGGCCCUGGGUUUCAAGCACAAAACUGGGCGGCUGUUUGGGCAGACACAGACCUACUGGGCUAGCUGCAGGAAUUUUUUUUCAUACCCCAGUGAAGACUGGAACCCCAGUGAGACAGAACUGUUCACUCCCCUGGAAAGGGAGAUGAAGUCAGGGAGCCAAGUGGUCUUGCUCAGAGGAUCCCACCCCUAUGGAGCCCAG